rnacentral:rRNA from 1 species
GAUGAACGCUAGCGGCAGGCUUAAUACAUGCAAGUCGUGGGGCAGCAUGAGUAGCAAUACUUGAUGGCGACCGGCAAACGGGUGCGGAACACGUACACAACCUUCCGAUAAGUGGGGAAUAGCCCAGAGAAAUUUGGAUUAAUACACCGUAACAUAUAGAGUAGGCAUCUUCUUUAUAUUAUAGCUUCGGCGCUUAUUGAUGGGUGUGCGUCUGAUUAGGUAGUUGGCGGGGUAACGGCCCACCAAGCCUACGAUCAGUAGCUGAUGUGAGAGCAUGAUCAGCCACACGGGCACUGAGACACGGGCCCGACUCCUACGGGAGGCAGCAGUAAGGAAUAUUGGACAAUGGGCGAAAGCCUGAUCCAGCCAUGCCGCGUGAAGGAUUAAGGUCCUCUGGAUUGUAAACUUCUUUUAUUUGGGACGAAAAAAGGGAAUUCUUUCCCACUUGACGGUACCAAGUGAAUAAGCACCGGCUAACUCCGUGCCAGCAGCCGCAGUAA